rnacentral:rRNA from 1 species
ACGAUGAACCUCCUUCGGGAGGGGAUUAGUGGCGAACGGGUGAGUAACACGUGGGCAAUCUGCCCUGCACUCUGGGACAAGCCCUGGAAACGGGGUCUAAUACUGGAUACUGACCCGCUUGGGCAUCCAAGCGGGUCGAAAGCUCCGGCGGUGCAGGAUGAGCCCGCGGCCUAUCAGCUUGUUGGUGAGGUAAUGGCUCACCAAGGCGACGACGGGUAGCCGGCCUGAGAGGGCGACCGGCCACACUGGGACUGAGACACGGCCCAGACUCCUACGGGAGGCAGCAGUGGGGAAUAUUGCACAAUGGGCGAAAGCCUGAUGCAGCGACGCCGCGUGAGGGAUGACGGCCUUCGGGUUGUAAACCUCUUUCAGCAGGGAAGAAGCGGAAGUGACGGUACCUGCAGAAGAAGCGCCGGCUAACUACGUGCCAGCAGCCGCGGUAAUACGUAGGGCGCGAGCGUUGUCCGGAAUUAUUGGGCGUAAAGAGCUCGUAGGCGGCUUGUCACGUCGGUUGUGAAAGCCCGGGGCUUAACCCCGGGUCUGCAGUCGAUACGGGCAGGCUAGAGUUCGGUAGGGGAGAUCGGAAUUCCUGGUGUAGCGGUGAAAUGCGCAGAUAUCAGGAGGAACACCGGUGGCGAAGGCGGAUCUCUGGGCCGAUACUGACGCUGAGGAGCGAAAGCGUGGGGAGCGAACAGGAUUA